rnacentral:rRNA from 1 species
CGUAGGGACCAAGCGUUGUUCGGAUUUACUGGGCGUAAAGGGCGCGUAGGCGGCGUGUCAAGUCAGCUGUGAAAUCUUGAGGCUUAACCUCAAGCGGUCAGCUGAUACUGAUGUGCUAGAGUGCAGAAAGGGCAAUCGGAAUUCUUGGUGUAGCGGUGAAAUGCGUAGAUAUCAAGAGGAACACCUGAGGCGAAGGCGGGUUGCUAGGCUGACACUGACGCUGAGGCGCGAAAGCCAGGGGAGCAAACGGGAUUAGAUACCCCGGUAGUCCUGGCCCUAAACGAUGAAUACUUGGUGUCUGGAGUUAUUAUUGCUCCGGGUGCCGUCGCUAACGUUUUAAGUAUUCCGCCUGGGGAGUACGCACUCAAGUGUG